CAGAUUGAACGCUGGCGGCAGGCUUAACACAUGCAAGUCGAACGAUGAUUAUCUAGCUUGCUAGAUAUGAUUAGUGGCGGACGGGUGAGUAACAUUUAGGAAUCUGCCUAGUAGUGGGGGAUAGCUCGGGGAAACUCGAAUUAAUACCGCAUACGACCUACGGGUGAAAGGGGGCGCAAGCUCUUGCUAUUAGAUGAGCCUAAAUCAGAUUAGCUAGUUGGUGGGGUAAAGGCCCACCAAGGCGACGAUCUGUAACUGGUCUGAGAGGAUGAUCAGUCACACCGGAACUGAGACACGGUCCGGACUCCUACGGGAGGCAGCAGUGGGGAAUAUUGGACAAUGGGGGCAACCCUGAUCCAGCCAUGCCGCGUGUGUGAAGAAGGCCUUUUGGUUGUAAAGCACUUUAAGCAGGGAGGAGAGGCUAAUGGUUAAUACCCAUUAGAUUAGACGUUACCUGCAGAAUAAGCACCGGCUAACUCUGUGCCAGCAGCCGCGGUAAUACAGAGGGUGCGAGCGUUAAUCGGAAUUACUGGGCGUAAAGCGAGUGUAGGUGGCUCAUUAAGUCACAUGUGAAAUCCCCGGGCUUAACCUGGGAACUGCAUGUGAUACUGGUGGUGCUAGAAUAUGUGAGAGGGAAGUAGAAUUCCAGGUGUAGCGGUGAAAUGCGUAGAGAUCUGGAGGAAUACCGAUGGCGAAGGCAGCUUCCUGGCAUAAUAUUGACACUGAGAUUCGAAAGCGUGGGUAGCAAACAGGAUUAGAUACCCUGGUAGUCCACGCCGUAAACGAUGUCUACUAGCCGUUGGGGUCCUUGAGACUUUAGUGGCGCAGUUAACGCGAUAAGUAGACCGCCUGGAGACCCGACUUGU
rnacentral:rRNA from 2 species